GAUGAACGCUAGCGGCAGGCUUAACACAUGCAAGUCGAGCGGAGACAUGUAACGGAAGGCUUCGGCCGGAAGAUAUAUGUUUUAGCGGCGGACGGGUGAGUAACGCGUGAGCAACCUGUCCUUCACAGGGGGAUAAGAUACCGAAAGGUGUUCUAAUACCGCAUAAGACCACAACGUCACAUGGCGAAGGGGUCAAAGGAGCAAUCCGGUGAAGGGUGGGCUCGCGUCCGAUUAGAUAGUUGGUGAGGUAACGGCCCACCAAGUCGACGAUCGGUAGCCGACCUGAGAGGAAGGUCCCCCACAUUGGUACUGAGACACGGACCAAACUCC
rnacentral:rRNA from 1 species